rnacentral:rRNA from 1 species
UGGGGAAUUUUGGACAAUGGGCGAAAGCCUGAUCCAGCAAUGCCGCGUGUGUGAAGAAGGCCUUCGGGUUGUAAAGCACUUUUGUCCGGAAAGAAAUCCUUGGCUCUAAUACAGUCGGGGGAUGACGGUACCGGAAGAAUAAGCACCGGCUAACUACGUGCCAGCAGCCGCGGGUAAUACGUAGGGUGCAAGCGUUAAUCGGAAUUACUGGGCGUAAAGCGUGCGCAGGCGGUUUGCUAAGACCGAUGUGAAAUCCCCGGGCUCAACCUGGGAACUGCAUUGGUGACUGGCAGGCUAGAGUAUGGCAGAGGGGGGUAGAAUUCCACGUGUAGCAGUGAAAUGCGUAGAGAUGUGGAGGAAUACCGAUGGCGAAGGCAGCCCCCUGGGCCAAUACUGACGCUCAUGCACGAAAGCGUGGGGAGCAAACAGGAUUCAGAUACCCUGGUAGUCCACGCCCUAAACGAUGUCAACUAGUUGUUGGGGAUUCAUUUCCUUAGUAACGUAGCUAACGCGUGAAGUUGACCGCCUGGGGAGUACGGUCGCAAGAUUAAAACUUAAGGAAUUGACGGGGUCAUAGCUGUUUCC